CUGUAAAAGGUGGCCAAGGUAAAUGCAGAUGAACCGCUUCUAAUAGUCCAUUGACUUGGACAAUACUUUUAUGAUCUGAUCUCAAAUCAGGUAGGACUACCCGCUGAACUUAAGC
rnacentral:misc_RNA from 1 species